UGUAGCAAUACACAGUCGAGCGGCGAACGGGUGAGUAACGCGUGGAUAACCUGCCCAGAGGUGGGGGAUAACCCGGGGAAACUCGGGCUAAUACCGCAUAUGACCGUGAGGUCAAAGGCGGCUCGCAAGGGCUGUCGCCAUUGGAGGGGUCCGCGUACGAUUAGCUAGUUGGUAGGGUAAUGGCCUACCAAGGCGACGAUCGUUAGCCGGCCUGAGAGGGUGAUCGGCCACACUGGAACUGAGACACGGUCCAGACUCCUACGGGAGGCAGCAGUGGGGAAUUUUGCGCAAUGGGCUAACGCCUGACGCAGCAACGCCGCGUGGAGGAUGAAGGUCUUUGGAUUGUAAACUCCUGUCAGCAGGGAAAAAGCAAAUCGGCCUAACACGCCGGUGAGUUGAUUGUACCUGCAGAGGAAGCCCCGGCUAACUCUGUGCCAGCAGCCGCGGUAAUACAGAGGGGGCAAGCGUUAUUCGGAAUUAUUGGGCGUAAAGGGUGCGUAGGCGGCCUGGCAAGUGGAAGGUGAAAUCCCUCGGCUUAACCGAGGAACUGCCUCCCAAACUGCUUGGCUUGAGACCAGGAGAGGUGAGUGGAAUUCCCAGUGUAGCGGUGAAAUGCGUAGAUAUUGGGAGGAACACCAGUGGCGAAGGCGGCUCACUGGACUGGUACUGACGCUGAGGCGCGAAAGCGUGGGGAGCAAACGGGAUUAGAUACCCCGGUAGUCCACGCCGUAAACGAUGAGUGCUUGGUGUAGCGGGUAUCGACCCCUGCUGUGCCGAAGUCAACACAUUAAGCACUCCGCCUGGGGAGUACGGUCGCAAGGCUG
rnacentral:rRNA from 1 species